GUCUGUCGGCGGCAGGAUGGGCGCGCGGAGGGGAGGCGUCGUGCCGCCAACUCUGACUUGAUUUGCUUUAAGAGAUAAGUAACGCCAGCACGUGGCUUUAAGUCGGCCCCAGGUUUGCCAGUUCAGAUCCUGGGUGUGGACAUGGCAUGGCUUGGCAGGCCAUGCUGUGGCAGGCGUCCCACAUAUAAAGUAGACAAAGACAGGCACAGAUGUUAGCUCAGAGCCAGUCUUCCUCAGCAAAAAGAGGAAGAUUGGCAGCAGAUGUUAGCUCAGGGCUAAUCUUCCUCAAAAAAAAGAGAAACUCUCAAGUAUUUUUUUUUCUCCCCAAAGCCCCCGUACACAGUUGUAUAUCUUAGUUUUAAGCCCUUCUAUGUGGGACGCUGCCACAGCGUGGCUUGAUGAGCCAUGUGUAGGUCCACACCCAGGAUCUGAACUGGCAAACCCUGGGCUGCUGAAGCAGAGUGCACCAACUUAACCACUAAGCCACCAGGCCAGUCCCUGUUUUAUCUUUCUGAGUUCAUGUUUAUUUUUUUCUGAUUCCUUUUCAUAGAUAAUGUUCUUUCAUAAGUGCAGUUUUUUCUUAUUUUCCUUCCAUUAUACAGUUUUUAAAGCCUUUUUUCCGCUUCCUGCAUUGACUCCCUCACGCAGGUUCCUUUUCUCUGCUUGCUUUGGUGUGUCCGCUCCCUGCUGAAAGCUUUCCCGAAAUGUCUGCUGAGCCUUCUUUCUGUUCAAAUUUAAGAGUCAGAUGCUGCAGGAGACAGGAUCAAGCUCAGCUGAGAGUGUCAGAAAACCUCCAAGUAAAAGUGGCUUAGAGGCUGGCCCGGUGGCGUAGUGGUUAAGUUCAUGAGCUCUGCUUUGGCAGCCUGGGGUUCGUGGGUUCGGGUCCUGGGCCUGGACCUACACACGGCUCAUCAAGCUGCACUGUGGCUGCAUCCCACAUACAAAAUAGAGGAAGAUCGGCACAGAUGUUAGUUCAGCAACAAUCUUCCUCACGAAAAAACAAACAAAAAAACAAAGUUGCUUAGACAAGACAGAAGAUGGUUCCUCUCUUUAGUAGAGGUGGUCCAGGGCUCGUGUUAUGGGACCGUAGUCCUCAGGGACCCCGUCUUGUUCUCUGCUGCUCCACCUUCCUCAACAGGGGGCUCGCGUCUCAUGGGCCAAGAUGGCUGCCCAAGCUUGUGUGCCCACCAGCGGGAAGAAGAGCAAGGAGGGUGAACUCCACCAGCUGACAUCCCGUUGGCCAGAACUUGGCACACCCAGCUACAAGGAACGCUGGCUCUGUAGCUUUUACGAGAGACGUACCCAGCUCUCCCACAGGGUGCAAGCCUGGCAGGCUUCCGUCUGAAAGCAGAACCAGAAAAGGAGCUUUGGUGUUCCACCCCACGGGUGCAGAUUUCCAGUUACACUCCUUCUUUUCGGUCUCUUCCCUCUGUGAUUCUCUCAAGUUAAACCCUCAGCAGCAGCAGCAGCAGCAUCUUUUCAGUGCUGUGCAUUGGGCACUGUCCUAACUGCUUUACGUGUGUCUCCACUUGUGACCCCUGCUCAGCCUAGUGAGCCAGUGGUGUUGCAGGCUGCAGGAGUCUGGUGCAGGGUCCCCCUGGGACGGCUCACCGGCUGCACCUGGACUGACAACUGAGGCUGGGCGGGGAAAGCCCUGUGCACCGGCGAAGUUCACGCGCCCAGGGCGGGAGGCACCAGUCAGCCACACCCAGGCCAUACUCCCAGACCUCACCUGGAUGAGGGCACUGCCAUCUGCUCUGUGAAAAACAAUGAUGGGAAAUCUCGUUUAUAAUGGAGUCAGGAGGCCAGAGGGGAGCUCCCAGCAGUGCGGCUCCAGGCCAGUUACAGGAAAGACAGUGAAUUACAGAACCAACAGAAGCGUCAUCAGGAAAGAAUGUCGGUUACAGGAAGAAAUGUAUGUUGCAUCCCAAACAGAAAUCAACAACCCCAGCAACUCAGCCAAUGAGAAACCAUCACCGCCCUGAACUUUUCCUUUUUUCAAAGGACUUUUGUUCAAAACAACCCUCCCAAUUUCCUCCUUUUUCCCUAUAAAGUAACGAUCUGCUCCCUUGUUGGCUGGAUUUGCCUGUGGUUGGCCAUAGCAUGCACGUCCCGAAUUGAAAUUCUUUGGCUAUUCCUGAAUAAACUUGUUUUGCUGGUAAAAUAA
rnacentral:lncRNA from 1 species